rnacentral:rRNA from 1 species
CUGCCAGUAGUGUAUGCUUCUCCUAAAGACUAAGCCAUGCAUGCCUAAGAAUAAGAGGAAGCAAUUCUCUCUGAAUCUGCGAACGGCUCCGCAAACCAGUUGUAAACUAUAGCAAGCAAGCCCGGGGCUGGCCUUCACGGGCCGGCUCCGGGUUAUAUGGAUAACCCUGGUAAUUCUGAGGCUAAUACAUGACAGUACAACCUGGCUGACUGGGCUUCGGCCUGGGAUGCCGGGGGACGUGUGAUUGAGGGCUUGGUAACACCGGGAAGGGGCGCACGUCUAGACCACGCUAUAAAGGUCGGUUUCCCCCUUCGGGGGGGGGUCGUCCCAGUGGCUCUUGCUGUGUGCUUCUGACCUAUCAACUAGACGGCAGCAUAAGGGACAUGCUAUGGUGACAACGGGUACAGAGGAUUAGGGUUCGAUCCUGGAGAGUGGGCCUGAGAGAUUGCUCAUACUUCUAAGGAAGGCAGCAGGCGCGCAACGUUCCCCUUGGGCAAUGCCCGAGGGCGUUAGGGGACAUAUGAAUGCCUGCCCAUUGGGUGGGCAAUUCAAAUGG